AAGUCGUAACAAGGUAACCGUAGGUGAACCUGCGGUUGGAUCAUUAAUUAUAUCCGGUGGGGGUGAGUAGCACGGCUUGCUUGCUGACACUGUCACCCCUAUACCAAACAUUAUGUGAACCGAUCCGUCUCUGGCGAGGGGGUAGUAAUUAAAACCUACUACUUGUCAGUAAAUGCCGUGUGCAUUUGCCGUGGACACCUCGUCAACAGGUCUUACACCUUUGAUUUAUUUUGAUUGUCUGACAUAACAUGUAUAAAUAUACAAAACAACUUUUGGCAACGGAUCUCUUGGGUCUC
rnacentral:misc_RNA from 1 species